rnacentral:rRNA from 1 species
UGCCAGCAGCCGCGGUAAUACGGAGGGGGUUAGCGUUGUUCGGAAUUACUGGGCGUAAAGCGCACGUAGGUGGAUAAGUAAGUUGGAUGUGAAAGCCCCGGGCUUAACCUGGGAUGGUCAUUCAAAACUGCUUGACUAGAGUACAGUAGAGGGAAGUGGAAUUUCAGGUGUAGCGGUGAAAUGCGUAGAUAUCUGAAGGAACACCAGUGGCGAAGGCGGCUUCCUGGACUGAUACUGACACUGAGACGCGAAAGCGUGGGGAGCGAACAGGAUUAGAUA